UGUUCCUCCCCAGGUGCAGGACUUUGCACUUCUUGUUGAACUUCAAGAGGUUCCUGCCAGCCCCUUUCUCCAGCCUAUUAAGGCCCCUCUUGAUGGCAGCAUGACCCGCUGGCGCAUCAGCCACUCCUCCCAGUUUUGUAUUGUUUGCAGAAAUUU